UACGAAGGGGGCUAGCGUUGCUCGGAAUCACUGGGCGUAAAGCGCACGUAGGCGGCUUGUUAAGUCAGGGGUGAAAUCCUGGAGCUCAACUCCAGAACUGCCUUUGAUACUGGCGAGCUUGAGUUCGGGAGAGGUGAGUGGAACUGCGAGUGUAGAGGUGAAGUUCGUAGAUAUUCGCAAGAACACCAGUGGCGAAGGCGGCUCACUGGCCCGAUACUGACGCUGAGGUGCGAAAGCGUGGGGAGCAAACAGG
rnacentral:rRNA from 1 species